AUGCAAGACUACUUCGCGGAGAAUCCAACGUAUCCACCUCACCUCUUCCGGAGAAGGUACCGAAUGCGCCGAUCCCUCUUUGUUAGACUUGUUCAAGCUUGUGAGGCCAAUUGUCGGUAUUUUACACAAAGAAGAAAUGAUGCGGGCUUGAAGGGAUUUAGUGCAUAUCAAAAAAUCUCGGCAGCUAUGCGGGUGACUGCGUAUGGGGUUCCGGCUGAUUAUGCUGAUGAGUAUCUUUGCAUUGGUGAAGAUACAACAAUUGAGUCGGUGCGUAGAUUUGCCAAAGUGAUCGUCCAUGUCUUUGGUCUUGAAUAUCUUCGAGCACGGAACGAGGAUGACACAAAGAAAUUGAUGGCAUCUAAUGAGAGGAGAGGGUGGCCUGGCAAUGCUAGGUAG
rnacentral:rRNA from 1 species